GAAGUUAAUGUUUUCUGGUUGGUGGUUGCGCACGCCCUAGCAUGGUCCUGAUCAUUCCUCCAACUGAAAAAAACACCAUCCAACCACAACCCCUCACCGUCAAGCUGCUGCCCCUUGCGGAGGAACUGAGCGAGCUGCAGAGAUGGGUUCUUCGCCUGCGGAGUCCAACGUUGUGACGUGGGUGUGGGGAAAAUCUGGAUCUGGGCCUACGGAUUUCCCUGAUUUGCCGUUCCAACAUGAUUCUGUUGUUUUUGGACCCCAUUCCGGUCGGCUAGCAACGUUACGAGAAGUGGCUGAAGAUGACCCCAAUGGGGAAUUCGCAGAUUUGCUGGAUUCCAUUGAUGUUCGCCAGGUGGCGGACGCGACAGAUUCAGAAGAGAAGAAUAUUGAGAGGACGGGAACCACGUAUGUCGCGAUGGAUGAUAAAGUUGGAUGGGUUAGGAGGAAAAGGCGAGCUGUGAUGCCAGACGAGAGAUCAACAAGCGCUCAAAGGGUUACCGCAUUGGAGUCAGCGCUAACUGGGUUUGCAGAGAGGGAUUCAGAGACAGUUGUCACGCCGUCGUUGGAUUGUCUUUCGAUUCAAUAGUCAAGGAUUAUGAGUUCUACAACCUUUACUCGUGGGAAACUGGUUUUGGUAUUAGGUACACAAAGAACAGAACAAAUGUGAAGGGCGCAAAAUGCAUGCAGGAGUUCGUGUGCUGCUGUUCGGGAAAACCAAGAGAUGCUAAUUCGAAGUCAUCACGCUGCCAAUGCCAGGCCAUGAUAAGACUUCUUCGAAUUGAUGAUGACGGUUGGUACAUCAACGAAUUCAGGUCCAGUCAUAAUCACUCCCUGCUAAGUACUUGUGCUGAGAAGUUGCAUUUCCCAUCACAUAGACACAUUGACAAGUACACGCGGGAGCUUGUUUCACAGCUUAGAUAGAACAAUGUAAACUUGAGCAAGGUAUACAAUAUAAUUGCAACAUUUUUUGGUAGAAUUGAGAAUGUACCUUUCACGAAAAGAUGCAUGAGGACAUUGUGUGGGAAGCUAAGUUUGGAGCAAGCUGAUGACGAUGUACGAAAGACCAUGGCUAUUUUUUCGGAAAUGAAAGAACAAGAUAGUGAAUUUACUUACAACGUGCAAGUCGAUGAAGAGAGUAGAAUACGGACUCUUAUGUGGUCGAAUGGACGCAGCAAAACACAGUACCGUCACUUUGGUGAUGUCGUCACCUUUGACACCACCUACAAAACUAACCUAUAUGAUAUGCCUUUUGGUUUAUUUGUCGGUGUGAAUAACCAUUUCCAAAGCGUGCUCUACGCUGGGGUGCUGAUGCGAGACGAAACAGAAGACGCGUUCAAAUGGAUAUUCGACGAGUUUGCAAAGAUGAUGGGUGAUCAAGCUAGAGCUAUGGAAAAGGCUAUUGAAGUCGUUUAUCCUAAUUCCACGCACACGUGGUGCAAGUGGCAUGUGCUAAAGAAGGCAAAAGAAAACCUCGGGUCGCAUUACACAAAGAAAUCGGAUUUCAGGGCAGAAUUCCAUAAGCUCGUGCAUGAAAUGCUGACUGUCGACGAGUUCGAGGAUGGGUGGGCGGCCUUACUUGACAAAUAUUCAUUGAAGAAUAAUCCAUACCUGACUCAGAUAUACGAGACUCGGCACAAAUGGGCCAAGCCGUAUUUUGCUAGUAAAUUCUGCAUCACGCACACGAGCACAGGGAGGAGUGAGAGCGCAAAUCAUAUGUUGAAGCAGUAUGUCCUGCCGUCGUGUUCUAUGAAUCUAUUCGUCAGGCAAUACAUCAAACUUCAGUUUGACAGAGAACAAGAGGAGGGAUUCCAAGAUAAACGUACUAGGCUGAGCGGGGCGGUGCUUAAGGUGAAUACUCCGCUCGAAGUACAUGCCAGCAAGAUUUAUACACGGAAGAUGUUCGAGAUAUUCGGUGGUAUAAUCUAUGAAUCUGGAAGAUAUGAUGUUGAAGAAAUCAUAAAAAAUAAAAAAUAUAUAGUGACGCAUCAGAAAUCAGAAGAGCGUGAGAAGUGGUUCAAAUGCCGCUUCGAGGUUAACGCAUCGGAUAACCUUGGUUUCUUUUCAUGCAUAUGUGGGCUAUUUGAGCAUAUGGGUAUGCUUUGCUGUCAUUCGCUGCAGGUCAUGACCUUGCUACGUUUGAAAGAGAUCUCUCCAAGGCACAUCCUGAAGAGGUGGAGCGUACAUGGGAGAGACAAUCUGCCUGCUCAUCUGAAGCACUACCAACAGGACAUGGGGCCUCGAGAUGCACCCACUUUCCGACACUCAGCCUUAUACGUCACGGCGCUCGAAGUGGCUAAUAUGGGUGAUAGGAAUCCUGAAUCAUUUGAAUUCAUGAUGUCUGGCUUGCUUGAACUAAGAACCAGGGGUGUCGCGGUCUGUGCUCCAAAAGACGGGCUCGGUGUUGUUGAGCAGCAAGUGUCCAACAAUGGAGUAUCUGGGGCGAAUUUGCUCGAUGGCAAGUCUGGUUGUUCGAUGAGGAGCGUGGAAGGAAACCGCUCGAAAUCUAAAGAUGCAGUCUCGGUGUCGGUGCACCCUCCGGUCAGCCAGGCGUCAGAGGGAUCGUGCGCAAACGGAGCAAGCUACAACUCGGACUACUCUGAAGCUGGCUCUCGUCUGAUGAUGAAUGGCGAACAAGAUUUGCUUGCGCCAGAAAGAAACAAAAAACAUGGGUGGCCAACGACAAGCCGAGAUAAAGAUCCAUACGAGAAAGAAAGCGGUAAAAGAUCAAGAUUCUGCUCCAUCUGUAGGGGCAAGGGGCACAAAUCAAGCACAUGCCCUGAUCGAGGUGACACCCUGAAAAAAGAGAGGAAGAUUGCUACUUGCGGAAGGUGUGGUGUGCCAGGGCACCGGAGGACAACGUGCAGCAAGCCCCUCCUCUCGAUGAUGGCUGGUGGCUUGUGUUACAUUCCACGAGCCCCGCGUUCUGUCUGUGGCCGUGUUGUGCACCUUGAACAAAAAGCGUCUUUACAUUCACGCCGCCCCGCCUUCGUAAGACGCAGCUCCCCUCGUGCUGUUCUGUUUGAAUGCCAGGGUUUCGAUGCAGCUGAGCAAAAUGUUUUUCGUCAAAAAAUUUUCCCUGCAAAUGCCAAAGCGGUGGAAACAUUAAAGUCUGCGAGGGAGCGAGCUAAAUGCGACGCGGUGAGGAUGGAUCACGUGUGGCCGCGUCUUCCAUGGCUCUCGCUUGUUGCACUACAUAGGUUCACUGUGCCGCCGUACAUGUCUGGGCAUUUUGGUAAUGAAUCCGCACGGAAAACUUCGUGGACCAAUGUUUACGAGUCUAGGAAGAGAGCGAAAUCGAACAAGAUCAUGGUUGACAGUUGCUUCGCCCCUAAAGAUGUCUACGAGGUGUCUGGUUAUCUUACUGACGAACAGAAAGCGCUUAUAGUCUAUAUUGGUCUUGGGGGGAUGCUAGAUGUAGACAACAUAACACAUGUGGAUAGGGAGUUCUCGUGGCAUUUGUUGCUCAAUGUCGACUUAGAGCGUGCUACUUUGAAAAUAGACGAAACAGUUGUCUACGCUUUCAACGAGGUUGACAUCCACAACAUCUUAGGAAUUGCCUUGGGUGGGGAUAUAGAAAUCGAAUGUAAGAAUGCAUCGCCAACCGUGGACCAGCUCGCUAGCAUUAGAUCUGCCCUAGGAUUAGCCGAAGCCUUUCUAUAUGUAACAACGUCUGAUUUGAAGUUGGCUUUGAAGAGACCAUGUCAAACGCCCCUGUCCGAUGAGUACAGAGUUAGGACCAUCAUCGGUUUUGCUAUGCUUUGCAUGGCCACUUGUUUUAGUCCCAGGGAGAAGAGGUCAAUGGUCCCAGCGGAAGCAUACGAGAUUUGCAUGGACCACUCGAAUCUGCAUAGGGUGAACUGGGGGAAAUACAUUUUCACCGAGCUAAUCCGCGUCGCCGCGAGGUGCCAACAACUAUUGCUUGAAGGGAAGGCGCCUCACGUGUACGGGUGCCCUCUGGUGUUGCAGGUAUUGUACUUUGACUCGGUAGAUGUUACUGCGUUCGUGAGGCCUGAUCCAUCCGUCAGGCCAAGAACAAGGUUUUACACUGCAGCCAUUCUCAGCACGCUUAUACUCGGAAACACGUUUCCUCGCACCGGCCCCAAGAAGUACGGCGUGCUGAAGGCUACGGUCAUUGCAACUGAAAAUCUUCCAUGGGAUACCACCCAUGUCAGGCAAGACAUUGCAGAGGCCAAAGCUUUCAUAGAACGAUCACUUCAGGAGCAUGCGUUGGCUAGCACCGAACGCAACAGGCUGUUCUUUCAGAGGCUAGCUGCGGUUAACACCGGCACAAUAUGUUAUAUGAACAACAACAUGCGCAGCGACAUCGAGAUGCACAUGCAAAGUGAGAGAGUUAUGACCACGGGGUACAUGCAAGCUUUACUUCGGUACGUGGAUGAGUUGGGAUUGUGUGACUCUGCCAACGAGCUUACAAACCAGUUGAAUGAUGUUGCCGCACAAUCAGGUAGUGUACAUACAUGUGCCUACAACGGGGCUGCAGCAGCGGAGGUGGCGAGCGAUUCUCAGACAAUAAAUCUGCCGGCAUUGAUUUCUACAGUAGGCGUUUUCCAUCCUGUUUCGUUCUUGAACACAAGCCAACUAGCCCUCCCUAUUUUGCCAGGCGUACCAGUUCGCAUGUCGAUGGGCUCUUUUGGUCAGUUGGAAAGAGAUAAUUGUUUACCGGGGCAAAACCGAUCUCCCGAAGGAACUGAAUUUGCUAGCAAACUUUGGCGUGGAGAACAUCUACGUUACAAUGUGGAGACGUGUCGUUUGAUUUUUGUGCCUGUUAAAGGGGGCGGCGGAUUCCACGUGCUAUAUGUCUUCGACAUGUUGAAGAAGGUUGUACAUGUGAUGGACCCCAAAAGAACGCAGUAUGACAUCAUAGAGCUCGAAAUGAAACACGCGCGUGUCAUGGACCGUCUCCUGUUUGGUCUGUGCAAGUGCAUUGAGACGUUUUUCGUUGGGUGGCAUGUUAGAGCGGACGAUUUCAAAAGGAAGGCGCACCGCAUGAUGCACGAACCAUCGAGCAGCAAUGACUCGCCUUUCUUCAACGUCCACUACAUGAUGAAAUUUGAUGGGGAAUACAUGACAGAAGAGAUAUGGCCGGACCAGAUGUUUCGGUUGAAGCAGCAGCUUAUGAGGUUUCCCUCACUCUGCUAGGGAACAGAGGGGCCCCCCUUCAGAGGUUGUGGACCCGGAAGUCUGAUGAUAUGGUCGGUCUCUUAGCUCAGGCCCGCGAAUGGUUGCGGUUAUUGUAUAAUUAAACUUAUGACGCAAGAGAAAAUCGAGUGCGUGCC